AUGAACUGCAGCGCAUGUGUCCCCGUUGACCCUCCACGCCAACGCGGGCCAGCCUCCACCGACGCCUCCCUCUGGCCCAGAUCCACAGCGCCCCGAGGGAGGCACAGAUCUCAACGAUGGCCAAUGUAUGCGGCGGCCGGGGAUGCACGGUGGGGAGAGAUGGUUUGGAGGGUGGCGCGCGGCGACUGGGGACGCACGCUGGGGAUAGAUGGUGGAGGAGGGUGGCACGCGCCUCGCCCAGGCCUCCUUCCACGCCGCAGCGGCGGAGUCCAAGCGCUCAUCAUGAGGACGCACGGGCGAGGAGGAUUUGGCGAGCUCCGGCGCCGAUUCCGUUGGUUCCGGCGAGCUCCGGCGCCGAUUCGUUUGGCUCCGGCGAGCUCCGGCGCCGAUUCGUUUGGCUCCGGCGAGCUCAUCCCCCUCCUACAGAGGGUGUUUUUUAAAUCGUUGGCCCGGCAUUUUUUUAACACUUGA
rnacentral:rRNA from 1 species